CUGGAUACAAACACUCUUGUAUUAAUACACUUUGUUUGAUUAUUGCAGGUACAAGAGAGAGAGAGACGGCUGUUGGAAGGGGAAGAGAGUGUAGGGGCUGACAAAAAGGAGGCUCUAGCUGCAUUAUAAGUAAAACAAUUUACAGGUCAGGAAGGGAAGUGUGGGCUGUGCAGGCCGUUCGAGCUGGAGGUACCCUCAGCCCACUGGGCUGUGAAGGGAGGUGUAACUUGGGUUGGAAAGAGAAAGCCCGAAAGAACAUUUGCGUUGUAUUUUAAAUUUCCUUUUUUCGAAGAUGCAUAAAUUUUUAUUUUAUAGUUAGACUUUGUAUUUUAAAUUUUUCGAAGAUGGUUUGAAACUUAAUAUAGACAUUUUAUUUUAUAGUU